AUUGAACGCUGGCGGCAGGCCUAACACAUGCAAGUCGAGCGGAGCGGCGGACGGGUGAGUAAUGCCUAGGAAUCUGCCCGGUAGCGGGGGAUAACUACCGGAAAAGGUCGCUAAUACCGCAUACUAUCAGAUGGGCCGCGGUCGGAUUAGCUAGUUGGUGGGGUAACGGCCCACCAAGGCGACGAUCCGUAACUGGUUUGAGAGGAUGAUCAGGCACACUGGAACUGAGACACGGCCCAGACGCCUACGGGAGGCAGCAGUGGGGAAUAUUGGACAAUGGGCGAAAGCCUGAUCCAGCCAUGCCGCGUGUGUGAUGAAGGUCUUCGGAUUGUAAAGCACUUUAAGUUGGGAGGCGUUACCUGCAGAAUAAGCACCGGCUAACUUCGUGCCAGCAGCCGCGGUAAUAC
rnacentral:rRNA from 1 species